UACGGAGGGGACUAGCGUUGUUCGGAAUUACUGGGCGUAAAGCGCACGUAGGCGGAUUUGUAAGUCAGGGGUGAAAUCCCGGGGCUCAACCUCGGAACUGCCUUUGAUACUGCAAAUCUCGAGUCCGGAAGAGGUGAGUGGAAUUCCUAGUGUAGAGGUGAAAUUCGUAGAUAUUGGGAAGAACACCGGUGGCGAAGGCGGCGACCUGGUCCGAUACUGACGCUGAGGCGCGAAAGCGUGGGGAGCAAACAGG
rnacentral:rRNA from 1 species